GGGAGGGUUGCCACGUGGCGGGUUCUCAUUGGACGACCCUUUCUGGUUAAAGCUGGUCAAACAGGUCUUCUCUUGUCAAAGGUCUGGUCAACUAAGGGGCUCUUUUGCAAUUCUUAAGAAUUCUAAAGGGGUUAAAGUUCAGAUAGAGGGAAUUUCAGGGCUUAUGUGAAAUUUUGGAAAAUUCAGUUGUUGAAUUAAUUUAAUUUUGGAAUAUCAACAGAAAAUAUCUUCCAAAUAAUGUUAUAAUUAUUUGGAAGAUAUAAGAUAAAAGAUUUUA
rnacentral:lncRNA from 1 species